rnacentral:rRNA from 1 species
UACGGGGGGGGCAAGGCGUUGUUCGGAAUUACUGGGCGUAAAGGGCUCGUAGGUGGCCAACUAAGUCAGACGUGAAAUCCCUCGGCGUUAACUCGGGGAACUGCGUCUGAUACUGGAUGGCUCGAGUUUGGGAGAGGGAUGCGGAAUUCCAGGUGUAGCGGUGAAAUGCGUAGAUAUCUGGAGGAACACCGAUGGCGAAGGCAGGUCUCUGGGCAUUAACUGACGCUGAGGAGGCGAAAGCAUGGGGAGCGAACAGG